GCCAGGGUGGCUUAGUUGGUUAAGCUUCUGACUUUGGCUCAGGUCAUGAUCUUAUGGUUCGUGGGUUUGAGCCCCGUGCCUGGCU
rnacentral:tRNA from 1 species